rnacentral:rRNA from 1 species
UACGUAGGGUGCGAGCGUUAAUCGGAUUUACUGGGCGUAAAGCGUGCGCAGGCGGCCCGUUAAGACAGGUGUGAAAUCCCUGGGCUCAACCUAGGAAUUGCGCUUGUGACUGGCGGGCUCGAGUACGGUAGAGGGGGGUGGAAUUCCUGGUGUAGCAGUGAAAUGCGUAGAGAUCAGGAGGAACACCGAUGGCGAAGGCAGCCCCCUGGGUCUGUACUGACGCUCAUGCACGAAAGCGUGGGGAGCAAACAGG